ACCCUGCUGGCUCAGUUGGAGGAGCAUGUGACUCUCGAACUCAGGGUUGUGGGUUUGAGACCCACGCUGGGGC
rnacentral:tRNA from 1 species